rnacentral:rRNA from 1 species
AUUGAACGCUGGCGGCAGGCCUAACACAUGCAAGUCGAGUGGAUGAAGGGAGCUUGCUCCUGGAUUCAGCGGCGGACGGGUGAGUAAUGCCUAGGAAUCUGCCUGGUAGUGGGGGAUAACGUCCGGAAACGGGCGCUAAUACCGCAUACGUCCUGAGGGAGAAAGUGGGGGAUCUUCGGACCUCACGCUAUCAGAUGAGCCUAGGUCGGAUUAGCUAGUUGGUGGGGUAAAGGCCUACCAAGGCGACGAUCCGUGACUGGUCUGAAAGGAUGAUCAGUCACACUGGAACUGAGACACGGUCCAGACUCCUACGGGAGGCAGCAGUGGGGAAUAUUGGACAAUGGGCGAAAGCCUGAUCCAGCCAUGCCGCGUGUGUGAAGAAGGUCUUCGGAUUGUAAAGCACUUUAAGUUGGGAGGAAGGGCAGUAAGUUAAUACCUUGCUGUUUUGACGUUACCAACAGAAUAAGCACCGGCUAACUUCGUG